GACGAACGCUGGCGGCGUGCUUAACACAUGCAAGUCGAACGAAGUGGCGAACGGGUGAGUAAUACGUGGGUAACCUGCCCUCCUUUUUGGGAUAAGCCUUGGAAACGGGGUCUAAUACCGAAUACAGGGGGAUGGGCUCGGGGCCGAUCGGCUUGGUGGUGGGGUGAUGGCCUACCAAGGCGGUGAUGGGUAGCCGUCCUGUGAGGGUGACCGGCCACAGUGGGGAUGGGAUACGGCACAGACUCCUACGGGAGGCAGCAGUGGGGGAUAGUGCACAGUGGACGAAAGCCUGAUGCCGCGACGCGGCGUGGGGGAUGAAGGCUUGCGGGUUGUAAACCUCUUUCGCUAUCGAAAGGGUAGGUGGAGAAGAAGCGCCGGCUAACUACGUGCCAGCAGCCGCGGUAAUAC
rnacentral:rRNA from 1 species